AGGUUAAAGACUACGUGAGACUUUGACAGAUGGCGGGAAACCCUCAUCCACUGGUACGAACCCGGUAGAGGAAUGUCUGCGACUAAGCCGAGGGCCACUGGAUAAGGGUUGUUGAUGGUAAAACAGGUAGAGGAAUGUCUGCGACUAAGCCGAGGGCCACUGGAUAAGGGUUGUUGAUGGUAAAACAGGUAGAGGAAUGUCUGCGACUAAGCCGAGGGCCACUGGAUAAGGGUUGUUGAUGGUAAAACAGGUAGAGGAAUGUCUGCGACUAAGCCGAGGGCCACUGGAUAAGGGUUGUUGAUGGUAAAACAGGUAGAGGAAUGUCUGCGACUAAGCCGAGGGCCACUGGAUAAGGGUUGUUGAUGGUAAAACAGGUAAUAAUACUAAAUUAUUAUC